CAGGGCACCCCCGUCUGGUGGCUGCAGGAAAUGAUGUGGCGUGUGUUUGAGUCUGGGUUAUACAUUGGCAGAGGAGACAAUCAUAGAUAAAGUGGUGCCCAUUUUGAUGAUCUUGCCCAGGACCCCACCACAAAGACGUAGGAAGCAGAGUAAGAGUGGAAGGGAAGCAGUUUUCGGUGCUGCUGCUGACGUUGUGAAUCUGUGGACAUUUGGAUCCUAUAACAUAGGCCAAACCUGAUCCACACACAGGUACAGUCAGAAACAGUUUGUAUAAAUCAAAAUCAUUUCCAACUGUGUAUCCAAAGAUGUGUCUGACAUGUUAGGGCAAACAAUUCUGAGUGACAUUACUCCAUAACCUCUAACUGUCCAUUUCUGUUGCAUGACAAACCCUAGUAGUGCAG
ensembl:lncRNA